UUAUCUUCAACUCUGAAGGAACAUCUGAAACAUGUCAAACAAACAACAUUUUACAACCAGGGGAAGUUGCAAGCUUCUAACAUGAUGGAAGUAUGUCUUUAAAACAAACUUUAAGACUUAGACCCUGCUUUCUAUUGAACCUGUUAAAAUAAAAAUGGGAACGAAGAGAAUUUGAAUGGAUUUAGAAAGAGCUAUUUUUAACUAAUCAGGAAUAUCUUCUGAGCUGGGAAUGUUCAAAUGAUGAACCCAGUUCCAUGAUGAACCUAAAUAAAAAGAUAUCUCCUGAACUUUAC
rnacentral:sRNA from 1 species